GACGAACGCUGGCGGCGUGCUUAACACAUGCAAGUCGAACGAUGAAGCCGGAGCUUGCUCUGGUGAAUUAGUGGCGAACGGGUGAGUAACACGUGAGUAACCUGCCCUUGACUCUGGGAUAACUGCUAGAAAUGGUAGCUAAUACCGGAUACGACCCUCGGAGGCAUCUCCAGGGGGUGGAAAGAAUUUCGGUCAAGGAUGGACUCGCGGCCUAUCAGCUAGUUGGUGAGGUAACGGCUCACCAAGGCGACGACGGGUAGCCGGUCUGAGAGGACGAUCAGCCACACUGGGACUGAGACACGGCCCAGACUCCUACGGGAGGCAGCAGUGGGGAAUUUUGGACAAUGGGCGCAAGCCUGAUCCAGCCAUGCCGCGUGAGUGAUGAAGGCCUUAGGGUUGUAAAGCUCUUUCGUCAGGGAAGAUAAUGACGGUACCUGAAGAAGAAGCCCCGGCUAACUUCGUGCCAGCCGCCGCGGUAA
rnacentral:rRNA from 1 species